rnacentral:rRNA from 1 species
GAGUUUGAUCCUGGCUCAGGAUGAACGCUAGCGGCAGGCCUAACACAUGCAAGUCGAACGGUAACAGGAAGUAGCUGCUACUUCGCUGACGAGUGGCGCACGGGUGCGUAACGCGUAUACAAUCUACCUUUUACAGGGGGAUAGCCUUUGGAAACGAAGAAUAAUACCCCAUGGCAAGUAACUUUCGCAUGGAAAUUACUUUAAAGAUUUACCGGUAAAAGAUGAGUAUGCGUCCUAUUAGCUAGAUGGUGUGGUAACGGCACACCAUGGCAACGAUAGGUAGGGGCCCUGAGAGGGGGAUCCCCCACACUGGUACUGAGACACGGACCAGACUCCUACGGGAGGCAGCAGUGAGGAAUAUUGGACAAUGGGCGCGAGCCUGAUCCAGCCAUGCCGCGUGCAGGAAGACUGCCCUAUGGGUUGUAAACUGCUUUUAUACGGGAAGAAACACCUCUUCGUGAAGAGGCUUGACGGUACCGUAAGAAUAAGGAUCGGCUAACUCCGUGCCAGCAGCCGCGGUAAUACGGAGGAUCCAAGCGUUAUCCGGAAUCAUUGGGUUUAAAGGGUCCGUAGGUGGACAAUUAAGUCAGGGGUGAAAGUCUGCGGCUCAACCGUAGAAUUGCCUUUGAUACUGGUUGUCUUGAAUCAUUGUGAAGUGGUUAGAAUAUGUAGUGUAGCGGUGAAAUGCAUAGAUAUUACAUAGAAUACCGAUUGCGAAGGCAGAUCACUAACAAUGUAUUGACACUGAUGGACGAAAGCGUGGGGAGCGAACAGGAUUAGAUACCCUGGUAGUCCACGCCGUAAACGAUGGUCACUAGCUGUUCGGACUUCGGUCUGAGUGGCUAAGCGAAAGUGAUAAGUGACCCACCUGGGGAGUACGUUCGCAAGAAUGAAACUCAAAGGAAUGACGG